rnacentral:lncRNA from 1 species
CGCUCCAAUAAAAAUACAUGUCUCUAUUAGACAAUUCAAUACUGCAAAUGAGUCUCAAUCACGUCUAAAGCGUAAUAGAUCAGUCGAUUCCAAAAAUAGAAAUCGUCAAAUAAGAAAGGAAACUAAAAGGAAAUAUGACCCAAAUGAAGAUAUAAUAACUCUAAAAGCAUCUUAUGACAUAAUUGACAUUUUAGUUCUAGAAUAUACUAAUCAUGUAUAUGUAAUUUAUGAAUAUAAAGAGAUUUCACUAAAUUAUGUCACUAAUAAAAUACAAUGGAACAAACAUGAAGUUAGCGUUGAUGAUCUUUUUGAAUAUAACACAACGCUAAAUGUGAUAAAUAAUAAUGAGAAUCAAGAACCUAUCAAAUAUAGUAGACAAAUCGAGAAUUGGCAAAAAUGGAAAAAUACACAUGAAACAAAAUUAAAUUCACUUAACAAGAUAAACGUUUUUUGAUAUGUAGUCUAAACACCCAAAGAUGUAAAACCUGUUGGAUACAAAUAGAUUGUUGUACAAAAACAAAAUAAGAAUAGUUAAAUUGUGAGAUUCAAAGCAAGACUCGUUGUCUAACGUUUUUUGCAAAUACAUGAAAUUGUGAGAUUCAAAGCAAGACUCAUUUUACAAGGUAUUUUACAAAUACCUUAGAUUGAUUUUGAUACAUAUUCACAUAUAGUUGAUGCAACUAUUUUUCGAUACUUAAUUAGCUUUGUAGCGCAUGAAGAGCUAAAUUUGCAUGUGAUAGAUGUUUGCACAAAUUACUUGUAUGACUCACUUAAUAGUAACAUUUAUAUGAAGCUCAUUGAAAUAUUUAAUUUCUCUUAUGCCAAUAGUAUAUGAUCUCAAGAAAACUACUCCAUAAAAUUGAAUAAGUCUCCUACAGGAUAGACGCAUAAAAUUAAACAAGUUUGUCUAUGGACUAAACGUGCGGUAUAAUUGUCUCAAUUAAUAUUUGUUAAAAAAGGGAUAUAAAAAUGACACUAUUUGUCAUUUUUUAUUUAUUUAUAUUUUUAAGAAAAGUUCGGGAAAUUAAUUUGCAAUACUUGUUGUAUACAUUGAUGACAUUAAUAUUAUUGGAAAUUUUGAAGAGCUCCCAAAGUCUUAGUUUGCUUAAAGAAGAGUUUGAAAUGAAGUAUUUGAGAAAAACAAUUUUUUGCCUAGGAUUAUAAAUCGAGCAUUUGAAUAAUGAAAUUUUUGUGUACCAAGAAACUUACAUAAGCAAAAGUGUUAAAACGUUUCUAUAUGAUAAAUCUCAUACAUUUUGUACUUCAAUGGUUGUUAGAUUAUUAUGCGUGGAUAAAGUCCCUUUCAAACAUCAAGAGGACAAUGAAGAACCACUUGGUCCUAAAGUACCAUAUCUCAGUGCGAUUGGAGCAUUGAUAUAUCUCAAUGCAUCUUUCAUAUAUCAUUUUCUAUCAAUCUAGUUUAAGAUAUAGUUAUUUCCUUGCAUGAAGAUAUUGAAACAAAGUUAAUUCGUUAUCUAGGUACAACGGAUAUGAGUUUAGUAUAUUCUAAAGUGAGCAAACUUGGAUGGAUGUAGGUUAUUUUUAGAUCCAUAUCACAUACAACCUACUUGUUUACAAGGGGAGAUACAACCAUUUCAUGGUGAUCCACGACUACAUCAAAUCAUGCAGAUCUUUUAGCACUACACAAGACAAAUAUAUAAUGUGUUUAGUUAAAGUCUUUAAUGCAUCACAUACAAGGAAAUUUUGAUUUAUAUGAUGGAAUAAUGGAUACAACAAUCAUCUAUGAAGAUAAUACUAUAUGCAUUGUUUGGAUGAAAGGUAUAUUAAAGGAGAUUGAAUAAAAUAUAUUGCUAAAAAAUUAUUUUUCGUUCAUAAUCUGGAGAUCGAACAAAAAUACAUUACUCCAAAAUUCUUUUUCAUUCAUGAUAUGCAGAAGAGUGGUAAGAUAAACACUAAUCAAAUUCAUUCAUAUGAUAAUUUUAUAUUGAUAUUUUCACAAAAUCAUAGAAUAUUUAAACAAUUCAUACCAAAGAUUAAUAUUUCACCGUCUCAAGAAUAUUUGUAGGUUGAAGGGAGAACUAAAUGCACCUUAUUAUGAAUAUUAAUCCAUUAGGCACAUGAAUAAUUGGUCCAUGAAUGAAUGUCUCUUUAUUUAUACCUAUAAAUAGCUAACAUUGUAAUAGAAACAAUAAUAUUAGAAUAAUACCAUUCACACUCUCUCAUUCAUUUUCUUUUUUUUCAUUCAUUUCUAGUAUGCCGCUGUGUCAGUUAGUUUACAACGUAUUGAAAUUUUUUAGUCUCAUUUAUAAAAAAAUAUUGUGACUUUUUAAGAUUUAUUUAUUGUUUAAAUGAUUUUUUUUAUCUUUAUUUAUUUAUUUAUUUAUUAUCUUUUAAAUAUUAUCUGGUGUUGUUAAUAUUUCGUAUUAUUAUUAAAGAUAUUUAUAAAAUAUUCAAAAAAAAUAUAAUAAUAAUAAUAAUAAUAAUAAUAAUAAUAAUAAUAAUAAACAACUAAAAUAAAUUCAUUAAUAUUAAUUUUUUUUCUUCUUCUUAAAAUUGGAUAAUAGAGUACUACCUCUAUCUCUCAUUAAAAGCGUUCAUUGACAAAAUAAUUGUCUUUAAUGUAAGUCAGUUUUCAUACAAAAACGGUAAUAUUGUCGAACUUAAAUACAACAGAAAUAUUUGAGUAAAUUUUAAAUUAAAAAAUAUUAUAAUUUAAUUAUAUCAGUGAUUUAUUUUGAAGUUAAAAAAAAAUCAUAUUUUAAUUAUAUUUAUAUUCAAUAGUGUUAAAGUUUUUUAAUGGAAAUUGAAUAAAAUGAUAAAAAAAUUAUAACUAUAAAUACAUUAUUUAAACUUAAAUAAUAUUUUAGCCAUUUUUUAAUUUAAAAUUAACGUAUUAAUUAUCCUACAAUUUUGUUUUUAAUUGAUAGAGGUGAAAUUAUUUAGAGACCGAGGCGGUACUAGAAUGAAAGUAGCGGUUGACAAUUCCAUUGGAUUGACGAAGAGAGCAGUUAGCACACGAGGGAUUGAGUGAGUGCCGAGUGGGGGCAACUCGACCGGCAAAUAGGUUGGAAGGGGACAUGCGGCCCCAUUCAUUAUCACUAAAUGCCAAAAGUUACUCUUGCAGAAACUAAAAUGUCCUUGAAACAAAUAGUUAAUCCAAUGCCAAUUAGCCCCGCUUUGCAACCGCUUCUCUCUCUCUUUCUCUUAUUAUCCUCCCACAUCGUCUAUAUACUACAAUAUCAAAUAUAAGUUUAAAUUUAAUAUAUUUUAUUUAAACUCUAAGUUAAAUAUAAUUUUUUUAAUUAAUUUAUAUUUAAAUUUAAAAUAGAGAAAGUACCGCACAAGGACGUAUCUUGUAUUUCUAUAUGCUCUUGUCUUGAGUUAUUUGUGGAAUAUAGACUCAAGUUUUGUUUUAGUUUUCUAUUUUUAUUAAUUAAUAAAAUCAAUAUUUUUAAUCUAAAAUUUAAUUAUUUUAUUUUAUUAUUCUAAUUAAAAAAUGAUGAUAUAAUAAAUUUUACAUAAUAUAAUAUAUGAUAUAAAAUUAUUAAAUCAAUAAAAUUACAAUAAAAUUAUAUAAAAAUUAAGAGAUUUUUAUUUUUAUAAUUUAAUUAAUGAUAUAUUAAUAAUUAAUACAUCUAAAUAAUUUUAUAUUAUUUAAAAUAUAUUAAAUUAUUAUUAUUUAAUUAUAAAAUAUAAAAGGUAGACUUUUAAAAGAAAAAUAGAAAAUCAAUUCUAUGAAUAUGCAUAAUGUAAAAAAUAAAAUUGCAAUUAACUCUAAAAUAUAAGGAAAGCGUGAGAGGUGUGGACGGUAUAAUAUAGUUUGAUUUGAUGCCAGUUGUUUGUAUCAACUGCCCAACAGAAAUUCAUUUAUUUANNNNNNNNNNNNNNNNNNNNNNNNNNNNNNNNNNNNNNNNNNNNNNNNNNNNNNNNNNNNNNNNNNNNNNNNNNNNNNNNNNNNNNNNNNNNNNNNNNNNNNNNNNNNNNNNNNNNNNNNNNNNNNNNNNNNNNNNNNNNNNNNNNNNNNNNNNNNNNNNGGGGGGACGCAUGCUUAUAUAAUCAAAAUAUUUGAUCUAUAUUAUUUUGUAAUACUAAUAUAUAUUUUAUUACCAUAGAAUUAGUUUUAAUUGCCAACAAUUUAGAUAAUACAAUUAUUAUUGUUUAUUACUUUUAAAAUUAAAUAGAAUUAACUAUUUUUUCUUAAAAAAAUGUAAAAUAGUUUUUUUUUUCCACAUUUUUUUGUAUAUGUAGAAAUGGAGGGAGUAAGGGUGAAAGUGUGUAUUCUUGUUUAGAAAUAAGUGUAAAAAGACUAUUUCUAAAAGGCCAUUUUUAAGAACGGGAGGGAGUAAUGAGAAAGAAUCGUAAGCAGAACUUAUCUUAAUAAUACACUCCUUAAAACACUAUUGCAACACACACUAUAAACACUCGAAAAUCAAAUUGGUUAUUGAAUAGAAAAGAACCAAAUUGAUUAUAAUGAAUUUACGUGAAAUCUAUAUAAUUUAAUUAGAUCCACUUAAAUCUUACACCUUUAGGUAGUUUAUGUUAAACAAAAUGUAUUAAAGGAGUUGAAUUAAGUGCAAUGUGAAUGCACACUAACACAUAUAUCUCAAUUGUCUAAUCAUUAUUGGACAUCAAAAUUUUAAAAUAUAUUACUUCAUUUGUCUUAAAAUAAGUUAGUUAUUUAAUUAUUUCAAAUAUAUUAAAAAAUGUAUAAAAAAAAUGAAAAAAAAAUAUUAUUUUUAUCAAAUUAUUUUUAUUAAAUAUUAAUAUAUUAUUAAUAUCAUAAAUAUAUAAUAAAAGAUAUUAUAUUAAAAAAAAGUAUAUUGAAAAUUAAAAAUAUUAAAAUACUGGUUUGAAAAAUUUUAAAAUACUUUUUUAUAAAUAAAUCAAUUAUUUUGAGACAAACAUCAGUUGUUUAAAUCUAAAUUACUGGAAUUAAAAUCUGAAUCAUAUUUGUAUUGAAAUAAAGUUGUAAGUUAAAAUCUGAAUCACUUAGAAGGGUUGUGAAUGGACAUAAUCCAAAUCCAUAUUUAGAGUAUAGGUAGCACUUGUGAAACACUAAAGAAAACGUGGAGCCGCUGAUGAGUUACGAGUGGUUUUAUAGGAGUUAGAGUAUGAGGUCACACGCUAGAUGAAAUCAUGGGACCCAUAAUAGUGCCAAUAAAGUCAAAGGAAUUCAACUUGAAUGAAAUCACGUGAGAUUCUUACAGGCUGGUAGUGGGGCCUUCUUACGUGGAGGAUGUUCAAAUCAUAUUCCAACCUGCUCUUUUUAUUUUAUUUUCUUCAAAGGAUUUGGAUUUCAUUUCUUUUUAUCGUUGUCAAAUUUUUUUACAGUAAAUUAUAUUCUUUUUCAUAUAUUAAAUUCUAUUAGUAAUCGUAAAUAUUAAAUAUUUAUCUUUAAUAAACAUUAUAUUUUAAUAUGAUACUAUGUUUUUAAGGUACAUAUUUUAUUUUAGGAGAGCAAAAAUCUUUUUAAAUAUAGUAACAGAGGUUUGCGUUUUCAAAUUGCAGCUUGUGACCUCAAAUGCUAUAACAUAAUUGUACUCACUCAUUUCUAAGCGUAUUUCUUUUAAAAAACAUUUAUUUAUUUUAAAGUUUCAAGUAGUAAUUUUUUAUUGUUUUGUUAAAAAUAAAUCUAAUUAUUUAUCAUAGAAAAAUAAAUAAUUUAAAAUAAUAAAUUGUUGAAGGUAUUAUUAAAAAUAAAAAUUAACUUUAUUAAAAAUAAUAAAACUGAUAAUGUUAUUAAUAUGUGUAAAUAAUUUUAAAUUAACAUUGAAAAGAUACAAAACUAGUAUUAAAUAUCAUUUUCGUAACAAAAUAUAUUUUAAAAUAAAUGUAACUUUAGUUAUUAUUUUUUACUUAUAUUAUUCAAUUAUUAAUAUGUACAUGAUUUUAAAAAAUAUUAAUUUUACUUAAUUAUAAUUAUGAUAAUGAAAAAUAGAUAAAUAUAGUUAACAAAAAUAAUUUAAUGAUUUAAAAUAAAAUAUAUUGAAUUAUUGUUUGAAAAAUAGUAAUUUAGUAAAAUAAUAAUUUUAUUAUUUCAAAUUUAUAAUUUUUUAAUAUAUAUAAAAAAAAUUAAACGAAGUUUAUUUUGGAAUAGAUGAAGUAAUUGUUGACAAGCAUUAUUAGUCCUUUCUUUUGGCUUCGAUAAUUGGUUUUGGUUAUGGAUAGACUUGAGAGGAAAGAAGAGUUUGGCUUCAAGAUUACAGCUGUAUGUAUGUUCAUCCAACAAAAGUAGUCAAAAAGGCUUUCGUCCCCACUUGCAACUAUAUGUACUUUUUAAUUUUUUUUUGUAUUGUAUGUUGUUAGUAACAUUUUUUAAAAAACGUUUGUUGUGUGUCAAACAGCUCAACUUUUCCUGUCAUGUCAUGUUUUAAACGCACCCAACAAAAUUGUCCAUUAACUACUUCUCCCCGAAUAAUAAAUAUUAUUAUUAUAUUCACUCACCGUCUUAAUUUCCCUGCCCUACUUAUUCAGUACGAGAAUGAUUUUAUGAUUUAUAUACCCUCUUUCAUUUCUAUUUAUGUGCUAUCUUUGCUCCCUAUACAUACCCCCAUACAUAUUAGUAUUACAUUAUUAAUUACUGUCUACUCUAUCUAAUCUACAGCUGGUAAAUGUGGUACCAAUCCUAUACCUAGCUAUUAAUUUGGUUUAUUUAUUUGAACUGUUCAUAUGUGAACUAGGUUAGUCUAAUUUAUAUUCUACUUUCUAUUUUAACUCCAAAAUUGUGCCUAACUGUUAUCAAUUAUAAGGGGCUAAAGUAGUAUGGAGAAAAUGACCAAAUAGUAACUGAAAUAAUAAUUAAUAAAAAUAUUAUUAUAAUUAAUUUAAACUUCAGUAAAAUUUUCAAUUUAAAUUUAAAAUAUAACGUCUAAUUUAAUAAUAAUUAAUUUUAAUUUAUGUACAUUAAUAUAUAUUUUACAUUCUUUAAAAUAAAAUAUAUAUUUUAAAUAAAUUAUUUGUAUAAUUUAUUAUUAAUUGUUCUAAUUCUAAAUUUAAAAUUUUCAAGUUAUACUUACAAAUUUAGACUUCAAUCUCUAAAUUAAAACUAUAGAGAAGUUCUAUCUUAAAAUAUACAUUAUCUUUUGUAUGACUAAAACGUCCUCGACGUAUAACUUUAAAAACCAUUUCUUUGAAGUAAUUAAAAUAUAUUUAAAGAGUUAAUAUCUUUGAUAUAUAUUUUCUAUAUGCAUCAUCAAAUGUCGAACCUCUAACUAGAUAGAUAAGUAAUCUAAGUAUAUAAUACAACACUUGCAAAAUAGUUGCUUUUGUUGUUACUAUUAUAAGAAUAUUUUUUUAAAAUCUUUAUCACUACUGUAAAUAAAUGUUAUAUACUGAUAUUGUUUCUUAUAUAUACUUUAUUCAAUUAAAAAAAAUAUUCGAUGUAAAUAGUUAGAUGUUUAACAUUAAAUAUAAAUAAUUUAAUAAAUUUAAAAAAUAUAAAUUACAUUACCUGAUUUUUGGAAUAUUUGUAAAAAUAUAAAUAUUUUUUUAAUAGAAGAGGUGGUAAAUAUGAUAGUAAUUAAGUAACAGAAAAAGAAGAUGUGAGGAAAUUUCAAGGAGGUCAAAAUGGUAAAAAGAAAGAAAGAAGACAAACCUGAAUAAAGAGUGUGGCAGCCAGCCAGAAAGGUUACUGAAAUCACACAAACACACACACGCAUAUCAAAUCGCAUCUACAGAGUCAUUGUAGUUAGACUCUCCACACCCACCAACUAUACAAAACCCUACUUUCCUGGAAACUACCCUUCCCUUCACCCUAACAACUUCCUUCUCAACACCCACAGACCAUUUAAAUUAAAUUAAUCAUAUUCUACAUUGCAUGCAUCUUUUCUUUAACUAAAUCACUGCCUCCUAUCUCCAUAUAUAAACCCAAUUAACACUCCACUCCCUUAUUACUAUAUAAUACAACAUUCACUAAUACUAACUUAUAAACACUCACUUAAUUAAUUCAUUAUCAUAUGGAAGCAAUCAAUAGAAGUUCCUCAACAACAACAUCUUCGUCAGAUUCAUGCUCUUCAGAAUCAAAUCAAAUUAACCACCAAAACAAACUAGACAGAAUCAAAGGUCCAUGGAGUGCAGAAGAAGACAGAAUACUAACCAGACUCGUUGAACAACACGGACCACGAAACUGGUCACUCAUCAGUCGUUACAUUAAAGGGAGGUCCGGCAAAUCGUGUAGACUCCGGUGGUGUAAUC